UCCCUCCCAGGAGGGGGCAGAUCAAGACCAAGAUAUUCAAGGAAUUGGUCAAGUUCUUGGCUCCCAUGGCUGGCGGGGGAGCUCCAAAGCCGAGGGAAGAUGGAGGGUUCCUGAGCUCCGGCUCCCAAACCCCAGCUGAAACCCCAAGUGGGUACUGCUCCGAUGCUCGGUCUGAUGGCCCCUGAUCCCUCCUUUUCUGAAAAUUGAGGAGGGUACUGAAAAUGGGAGGGCAGACAAUCCUUGCUCCUACAUAAGACACGCUAAGAGGGACCUCAUUGCAUUCAGGUACCAGUACCACACAGACCCACUUUGGAAGACCUAAAUGCAUGAAUCUUUCUUAAUGUGUGUCUUGAGCAUACAAGUGACGUGACAUGAAAUUUAUACUUAGAAUUUCUCGGACACGAGGGAUUGAGGUUCGGGUUAAGAGAGAAAUUUGGGGAAAUGGGUUUGCUGUGUUGGUGUGUGCCCGUAGGAUGCACAAGUGAUGUAGGCCUUCAGGCUUUUGUUUAGUAUUACAGUGAUUUAGAACAAGUGGUUGUUUUUCAGCUUUGUAAUUUUAUGUGUUUUCAAUGUACCAUUUUGUUCAAAUAUAAUAAUUUACUUUCCAAUUUUAUUGCCA